CCAAUAGCGUAUAUUAAAGUUGUUGCAGUUAAAAAGCUCGUAGUUGAAUUUCGGGACCAAUAUGUCGGUCGUACUUUGUACAUACUAGCAUCAUUGGUUUCUCCCUUCUGAAGAACCGCGAUGUCAUUAAUUUGGUGUCGUGGGGAAUCAGGACUGUUACUUUGAAAAAAUUAGAGUGUUUAAAGCAGGCUCGCGCUUGA
rnacentral:rRNA from 1 species